rnacentral:rRNA from 1 species
UACGUAGGGGGCAAGCGUUGUUCGGAAUUACUGGGCGUAAAGGGCGCGUAGGCGGCACAACAAGUCGGGAGUGAAAGCCCGGGGCUCAACCCCGGAAUGUCUUUCGAAACUGUUGAGCUAGAGUGCAGAAGAGGCAACUGGAAUUCCCAGUGUAGCGGUGAAAUGCGUAGAUAUUGGGAAGAACACCUGAGGCGAAGGCGGGUUGCUGGGCUGACACUGACGCUGAGGUGCGAAAGCGUGGGGAGCAAACAGG